rnacentral:rRNA from 1 species
GGCGGACGGGUGAGUAAUGCUUGGGAAUCUACCCAGUAGCGGGGGAUAACUCGAGGAAACUCGAGCUAAUACCGCAUACGCCCCACGGGGGAAAGCGGGGGACUCUUCGGAGCCUCGCACUAUUGGAUGAGCCCAAGUCGGAUUAGCUUGUUGGUAGGGUAAUGGCCUACCAAGGCGACGAUCCGUAGCUGGUCUGAGAGGACGAUCAGCCACACCGGAACUGAGACACGGUCCGG